AUUGAACGCUGGCGGCAUGCCUUACACAUGCAAGUCGAACGGCAGCACGGGAGCAAUCCUGGUGGCGAGUGGCGAACGGGUGAGUAAUAUAUCGGAACGUGCCCAGUCGUGGGGGAUAACGCAGCGAAAGCUGUGCUAAUACCGCAUACGAUCUAAGGAUGAAAGCGGGGGAUCGCAAGACUUCGCGCGAUUGGAGCGGCCGAUAUCAGAUUAGCUAGUUGGUGGGGUAAAGGCCCACCAAGGCGACGAUCUGUAGCUGGUCUGAGAGGACGACAAGCCCCACUGGAACUGAGACACGGUCCAGACUCCUACGGGAGGCAGCAGUGGGGAAUUUUGGACAAUGGGCGCAAGCCUGAUCCAGCAAUGCCGCGUGCAGGAUGAAGGCCUUCGGGUUGUAAACUGUUUUUGUACGGAACGAAACGGCCCUUUCUAAUACAGGGGGCUAAUGACGGUACCGUAAGAAUAAGCACCGGCUAACUACGUGCCAGCAGCCGCAGUAA
rnacentral:rRNA from 1 species